rnacentral:rRNA from 1 species
UACGUAGGGGGCAAGCGUUGUCCGGAUUUACUGGGCGUAAAGAGCGUGUAGGCGGCCAAGCAGGUCCGUUGUGAAAACUGGAGGCUUAACCUCCAGACGUCGACGGAAACCGCGUGGCUAGAGUCCGGAAGAGGAGAGUGGAAUUCCUGGUGUAGCGGUGAAAUGCGCAGAUAUCGUAAGGAAGACCAGUGGCGAAGGCGGGUCUCUGGACAGUUCCUGACGCUGAGGCACGAAGGCCAGGGGAGCAAACGGG